AUCAGGGUUGCUGCAGUAAACCAUUGUAAUCAAAGGGCUGGAGAAGUUUGACUCGGAAUAGGCAGGAAGUGAGGCCAGAGGGUGCCUGCUGAUGUCUACGUACUUCUGGGAACACACAUUAGACAAAGCGAGGGUGCAGGGCCAGCCCAAGAUCUACUGUGUCUUGCGAGGUAACACAACGUGCACUCCUUCUGCUUCCUCCUCGUCCUCGGUCACACUGCUCACCAAACUUCUUUCCCUCUGUGUGGAUUACUGAGGCUGGGAAUUUAUGUUAUUUGCCUUCAGGGAUUAAAAGCUCAGCAGUGAAGCAGAGACUGCAGGGCACAGGCAGAGAGGGCACCUCCUGCAGCUGCUGUUCUGCGCCCACCUUGGACGCCAAACUGACACCUGUAGGGAAUCAAGCAGUGGAAGUGGGAGAAAGACUGCUCCCCAUUUCCUCUCCAUUGGGAACAACUGUCUCUGCCGGUUCGUGGACUCUGCCUACCCGCCACUGCCGCUGUUCUGACAGCUGGGCUGCUCAUUCUCCCUUCUUUCUUGCAGGCUUUGAUUUGGUAUGAAUUGGAAUGAAACCCUGCAUCUGUAUCAAGAGCCUUCUCACAGGAGGAGAUGACAGCGAGAUACAGAGAUGUUUUCAAUGUGUGGUUCAAAAACCAUCUUGGUGGCUGCCGUGUCAUGCAUGAUUACAAUACCAGCUUGCAUUAGGACAGCUGCCCAUUUCUCAGAGUACUGCAGCCUCACUGGACCCGUGCCUCCACCCUGUGAGGCUGCCAUGAAACCAGCAGGAAUGCUCCAGUGCCUCCUGCCCCUGCAGGGACAUCUGCCUCACCUCAGGCCAGCAAGAAAAUCAGCAGAACACAGAAGGGAGCCUCUGAAACCAUGAACCACAACAAAUCUUUUCUUCUUUAAAUAGUGUAGGUCAGGUACUUUGUCCCAGUAAUUGAAGGUAAUCACUAUAUCACCCUUAUCUUAGGUAUCAACAACAAAGAAAAUAGGGUACUGGGGCCCUGUUGAUGGGGUAUACUAAUCAUGAGUGGAGCACAUUUUCUUAGCUUCUCUAGAGGUUAAUACACAUUUAUAACUGGGAGCGGGGCACAUUUUCUUGCUUUCUUAGAGGUUAAUACACAUUUAUAACUGUCAUGCUUUUGGGCUCCUGUUUGGCUUUAAAUGAUUAGCUUUCCAUGUGAUCCUUAAAUACGUUUCUGUGAAAUGAGAUUUCCUAGGCUUGGCUGUGUUCUCCAAUGCAUCCAUGAUGGUAUUCCCUCCCCUCUGGGCCCAGUAGGAGUUCAGAUUCCUGCUCUUCAUGUUCUUUAACCUCUUAUCAGAGGGUCCUGGUUAGUCUUCUUAACUGUAGAGCUGAGAGUUUUCACUCCAAGUACUUGGAAUUGAGAAACAGCUAAACUACAUUUUCUACCAUAAACAGAGCUCUAUGAAAUUGUUUGCUUUACACCUUGACUAUCAAUAGACGGAGAUCACUCCUGUCUCCUAAUUCACUUUAGGUCUGUUUUCAAAUUCUUAGAAGUUCAGAAAUGUUAGCUGGUUAUGGUGGUGCAUAUCUAGUUACAGCAGUCUGGGGAACUGAGGUAGGAAGGUGGCAGGUUCCAGACCAGAGUAAACAACGUAAGAAUUUAACAAGACCACGUCUCAGACAAACAAAACAAACAAUAAAAUAGGCUGAGGAUGUAUCUCAGUGUGAAGGCCCUGUAAAAUAGGCUGAGGAUGUAUCUCGGUGUGAAGGCCCUGAUUUCAAUCUUCAGUAAUAUUAUAAUUACUACUAUUACUACUACUGCUACACACAUACUUCACAAACGUAGAUCUGUUAGACCUGUAUAAUUGUUGUUUUGUUUUGUUUUUUGGUACCAGGAACUGAACUCACAACCUUGCGCUUGCCAGGCAAGCACUGUGCUGUUGAGCUGUAUCGCCUGCUGGACCUGUACAGUGAAACUCUUCCCUGGGGCUGGAGAAAGUCUAAUGUGAUGCCUCUUGCCCUCUAGAGAUCGGUCUGCUGUACUGAGACUAGGUCCUGCCUUCAGCCCACGAGAACAGAAACAUAAACUGUUUGUAAGUAAGACAUGAACUCUACUAGGAAUACUCCACUAGGUGGAAAUAACUAAAGUACUUGAGAAAAAAUUAUUUUAGUUAACAUUAUUUCCUCCUUCCUUGCCUUUUUUCCCUUCCUUUUAUAAGUUCAAACACUUCACAUGCUGUGUCCCAAGCAUUUUUGAAGCUGGGAACAUGCAAAAUUGAAUAAUCUAUGGUUGUGGUGCUCCUAGUUUCACAGGGAAGAUUCUGAGUAAAGGGCUAACAAAAUCUUUUCUCCUUAUUUGUGGAAAAGUUAUGCAGGUUGAACUUUCUAGCUCUGUUCUCCUUGAUAGCUGGUAAAGGCGGGCUGUCAGCUAAUGAGCAAUAUGGCUUAAAGGAAAAACGAGUCCCAGCUGGUAGCUAAUAAUGAACUAGGAGACCUGUACCAGGGCUGUAACUACCUGAUGAGAGGUAUCAGCUUCGAGCAUCUGGGAGGAGACACUGGAGGAGGAGUGGGCCCUUCCUUGCAGGGCCCAGGAAGCUGUAUUCACAGGCUACUGGGAGAAAUAAUGUUCUCGCAAAUAUGCAUCUUCUAAGGAAAAGGAACUGUCAAACCCACCAGUAUGGCUAAUUUUGAGAAGGCAGCAGGACAGCAGAAAAGCACAGGAUGGUUGCAGAAUCCUGAUUGUUCUUUUUAAGGAAACAUAGCAGACAUUGCUUGUAUCACGUUUGCAUCAUAGACAGAGAGGAACCUCUGGACAUCAACCUCUAAAGGCUUGACCAACUACGGUAAUUGAACCUAUUACCAGUGACAGGGGUUUUGCAAGACAUUAAAUAAUUACCAAGUGUUAUAGUGUACGCUCAUCAAGGCUUAUGUGCCAAGUGUUACAAGAAUUUCUGCUUUGGUUGUUCUGGGUUGGGACUGGGCCCUGUAAAAAUGCUUGGUAUGCAAUCUAAGCAACUUCUUUUCCUUACACUGGAAUUGAUUUUCCUAUAAUUUCACAUUAUCAUAAUUAAAGAAAAUUUCAUAAUUAGAACUCAGUAAAGCAUUAAAUAUGGAGUGUACACUGAGUGUAUAUGCUAAGAAAUUAGAAAAAAAAUCUAUAAAGAUAAUGGAAGAAAUGACCUGUAUAAAAUUUUAAUUUUGAUUUUUUGUGGUCUAUUUCUUUCAAAAUACAGUAGCUUUCUCUUCUCCAAAUGUGUACUAAAAUAUUUCAACAACAGCAAAAUAAGACACCAGGAUGCUAGCAUGUAUCCUGAACAGACAAUACUUCAACUUUUCCAGUAGUCCUGCCUAUAGGUAAAUUCCAAUUUUAUAAUUAUUACAAUGAUCUACCUACCCUGAAUUAAUGAUAUGAUACCCAUGACCCAAACUACAGUUAAUUUCCUUUUCUGAAUCAUUUAUUCAGUAAAUAUUUAUCAAGUAACAAGCAGGAUUUGAAGAAUGUAUCUAUCAUUAAGCAUUCAAAAGUAGGGGAAGGGGACAGUACAUGAUAUAGUUUCAAUGAAUUUUACUGGUCAUAAAAUUCUAGAUAAUAAAAAAAUUCACAGGUUGACAUUCACUUUAAUAUGUGUGGUUCCACUUGCUUUGCUAAAACAGAUAAAAAUACUUGUUUUACUCAAAAUCUGUUAAUGACUGGCUGGUACAGAAAUGUGGUGUUAUAAAUGUAUGACUUCAUUCUGUUUGCAAGUGCUUUCAGAUCCUAAGUAAAUUGUCAAAACAUUUUGGGAGAUGUGAGUCUUACUUUGUAAGGAAUGAGGGUUAAAAUAUGUGAUUAUUAUUUAAAAUAUCUACAUGAUUUUAUUUCUUUGGUGAACAUAAAAUACAAAGAAUGAAAAGUAAAGCAAGCAAAUCAAUAGCUUAAUGAAUUUUCAAAAGAAAUGGGAUUUCAUGCAUGAAUGAAGACUUUUGAGAAUAUCUUUAAUCACAUUCGAAGCCAAGCUGGAGAAGAUUCCGAAGUACAUGAUCAGUAAAAGGGAAGGAAAAUCAACAAGGACAGCGACAGUGCCUUUAAAUCAGAAUGAUUUGUCAAUAAAAUGAUUCCAAAUGGUCGUUAGAGCAACCUAUAAAGAUUUUUACAAACUGAGUCUGUUUAUGGCUCCACUAAAAUUCAAAUUUCAUAGUUACAGAAAACUACAAUUUGAAACAUGAUUCAUUUUUGUUUGAUGUAGGAAUGACUCGCUGAAUGCUCUGUUAGAUCAUAAACUACAUGUAGUUUCAUAAUUUUACUUUUAUUGUUUAAAAUAAAGCAUCAUUUGCUGUA